rnacentral:rRNA from 1 species
AUACGGAGGGUGCAAGCGUUAUUCGGAAUCACUGGGCGUAAAGGACGCGUAGGCGGGUUGGCAGGUCAGAUGUGAAAUCCUACAGCUUAACUGUAGAACUGCAUUUGAAACUGCUAACCUAGAGUAUGGGAGGGGGAGAUGGAAUUAGUGGUGUAGGGGUAAAAUCCGUAGAUAUCACUAGGAAUACCGAAAGCGAAGGCGAUCUCCUGGAACAUAACUGACGCUAAGGCGUGAAAGCGUGGGGAGCAAACAGGAUUAGAAACCCCAGUAGUCC